rnacentral:lncRNA from 1 species
GAAGAUUGGUAACAUAUAGUGACUAUUCGGAGGGUUAGUUAGUGAAGUGCUAAAGCUGGCAAGCUAACCGUGGACUCCCUUUUACUCCCACAGAAGAGGUUAAAUAAAAGUGAAGGAUGCAACACAAAUAAUAAGCUACGACAGCUUCCUCUAUUUUGGACUCUCCAGCUCUCUCAAAGAUCCUCAGGUCAGGACAGGUGGCAAGGAGCAUCUGGUGGUCAACAUUUCAAAGGCAAGAAGGAUGGAGAGGGAGGAGGGUGACAUGGAAAGACAUUCCAAGAGAAACCAGCUGUCGCUCUGUCAGAAGCACCUCCCGAGAUGCUGAAAGGACAGCAGCCAGCCAAACUGUCUUCACCAGGCUCAGUGAUAUAAGACAUUUACUGGGCAAAAAUUGUUUUCAAGUACAGUAGGCUGCAUUAGGAUUGUAGAAGAAGAAAAACUGCAUUGUUUUUAUUUUUAUAUAUCCAUUUCCCAAGCCACCAGAGGGGAAUCUUGGUUCAUGCAACCACCAUCUCCAUGACUCCAUCUCAGCCUCAUUCCAAACCAAUUGCA